rnacentral:rRNA from 1 species
CCUACGGGAGGCAGCAGUGAGGAAUAUUGGUCAAUGGGCGCGAGCCUGAACCAGCCAAGUAGCGUGAAGGAUGACGGCCCUACGGGUUGUAAACUUCUUUUAUAAAGGAAUAAAAUGAGGCACAUGUGCCGUUUUGUAUGUACUUUGUGAAUAAGGAUCGGCUAACUCCGUGCCAGCAGCCGCGGUAAUACGGAGGAUCCGAGCGUUAUCCGGAUUUAUUGGGUUUAAAGGGAGCGGAGAUGGGUUGUUAAGUCAGUGGUGAAAGUUUGCGGCUUAACCGGAAAAUUGCAAUUGAUACUGGCAGGCUUGAGUACAGUUGAGGUAGGCGGAAUGCGUGGUGUAGCGGUGAAAUGCUUAGAUAUCACGAAGAACUCCGAUUGCGAAGGCAACUUACUAACGUGCCACUGACAUUGAUGCACGAAAGUGUGGGUAUCAAACAGGAUUAGAUACCCUGGUAGUC